rnacentral:misc_RNA from 1 species
UCCUGGCAGUAAAUCUGAGAUCCCAGUUAGCAGUUAUGAGGGAAUUCGACAGAUUUAGGUUGGAUACAUUGAGCGAGUCGACUUGGAACUCAGGGAUGCGAGGAAGAAUAACAAUCCAGAUGACAAAGAGAAUUGUUCCGGUGAUGAUCGUAGAAGCAACAAGUAUAGCUAUCACUCGUCGAAGAAAGGUAUUACGCUGGGCCGCGUAAGGGUCUGGGUAGGGGUAGUUGUUGUAAUACGGUGGUGCAGCGUAAGGGUAGGCGGUGGCCGGAGGUUGAGGUUGAGCGGAGGGGUAGCCAUUGUGGUUAGGAGGAGGAGCGGCAGCGGCGGGGUAACCGGUGACGGGUCGAUUCGGGUCAGCCAUGUCAGAGGAUAUG